UACGUAGGGGGCGAGCGUUGUCCGGAAUCAUUGGGCGUAAAGGGCGCGUAGGUGGCCCGGUCAGUUCGUGGUGAAAGCGCGGGGCUCAACCCUGCGUCGGCCAUGAAUACUGCCGCGGCUGGAGCACUGUAGAGGCAGGCGGAAUUCCGGGUGUAGCGGUGGAAUGCGUAGAGAUCCGGAAGAACACCGGUGGCGAAGGCGGCGACCUGGUCCGAUACUGACGCUGAGGUGCGAAAGCGUGGGGAGCAAACAGG
rnacentral:rRNA from 1 species